rnacentral:rRNA from 1 species
AUGAGGCUGCAGCACACUUGCCCUAGCACUACAGAGACAUCAAGGGUUAGUGCAAAGUGGCUUGCACAGACAUAUGAGUCACUGUUCAGGUCUGAUCCAAACACAAGUAUUUUGACUCUGAUUGACAACUGCAAUGAGAAGUAUGGUGUUGAUGUGCCCAAGCACAUGGCCUAUAGGGCCAAAAUCCUUGCUGUAGAGGCUGUUUUAGGAGAACACAAGAAACAGUAUCCCAGGCUGAGGGACUAUGCUCAAACAAUCAUGGAUACAAACCAUGGGAGUAGAGUUAUAGUUACAACUAUAACCCCAAAACCUACUACAAAAAUACCACAUUCAGGACCAAGAUUUCAUGCUAUGUUCUUCUGCAUCAAUGGAGCAAGGGAGGGCUUUCUCAGUGGAUGCAGACCAUUCAUAGGUGUUGAUGGCUGCUUUAUUAAGCUCACCACUGGUGCUCAAAUACUUGCUGCCGCUGGCAGAUAUGGCAACAACAACAUUUUCCCAUUGGCAUUUGGUAUUGUUGGACAAGAGGAUACAACAAAUUGGUGUUGGUUUCUGCACCAACUGAAGAUAUGUUUAGGAGGAGAAGUUGGACAAUUUGGUCCUUAUACUAUCAUGUCUGAUAGACAGAAGAUAUGA